rnacentral:rRNA from 1 species
UUUUCCGCAAUGGGCGCAAGCCUGACGGAGCAAUACCGCGUGAGGGAGGAAGGCUCUUGGGUCGUAAACCUCUUUUAUCAGGGAAGAACACAAUGACGGUACCUGAUGAAUCAGCAUCGGCUAACUCUGUGCCAGCAGCCGCGGUAAUACAGAGGAUGCAAGCGUUAUCCGGAAUUAUUGGGCGUAAAGCGUCCGCAGGUGGUUUUGGUAGUCUGCUGUCAAAGCGCGAGGCUCAACUUCGUAUCGGCGGUGGAAACUCCAAGACUAGAGUUUGGUAGGGGUCACGGGAAUUCCCAGUGUAGCGGUGAAAUGCGUAGAUAUUGGGAAGAACACCAGCGGCGAAAGCGCGUGACUGGGCCUGAACUGACACUCAUGGACGAAAGCUAGGGGAGCGAAAGGGAUUAGAA